rnacentral:rRNA from 1 species
UACGAAGGGUGCAAGCGUUACUCGGAAUUACUGGGCGUAAAGCGUGCGUAGGUGGUUUGUUAAGUCUGAUGUGAAAGCCCUGGGCUCAACCUGGGAAUUGCAUUGGAUACUGGCAGGCUAGAGUGCGGUAGAGGGUAGUGGAAUUCCGAGUGUAGAGGUGAAAUUCGUAGAUAUUCGGAAGAACACCAGUGGCGAAGGCGACUUACUGGACACGUAUUGACGCUGAGGUGCGAAAGCGUGGGGAGCAAACAGG